rnacentral:ncRNA from 1 species
GUAAAUAUGAUACAAACAGGUGUCGAAGUACUUAAUAGGGAAGUUCGGUGUAAGACCGACACAGCCCCCGCUACUGUGAGUGAGGAUGAAAUUGGCAAAUAGCCACUUGUUAUAUACAAGGAAGGCGCCGAAAGUAAGUAGAUUCACGAGUCAGGAGACCUGCCUGUUUUGAUCUGCUGUA